GCAUAUCAAUAAGCGGAGGAAAAGAAACUAACAAGGAUUCCCUUAGUAACGGCGAGUGAAGAGGGAAGAGCUCAAAUUUUAAAUCUAUCAUGUUGUACAUGAUCGAGUUGUAAUUUGAAGAAGCGUUUUCUCGUACUUUAUGAUCAGUAUAAGUUCUCUUGGAACAGGACAUCAUAGAGGGUGAUAAUCCCGUCUGUUACUGAUUGUGAGGUUCGUUUAUGAUACGCUUUCAGAGAGUCGAGUUGUUUGGGAUUGCAGCUCCAAAUGGGUGGUAAACAUCACCUAAGGCUAAAUAUUUGCGAGAGACCGAUAGCGAACAAGUACCGUGAGGGAAAGAUGAAAAGAACUUUGAAAAGAGAGUUAAAAAGUAUGUGAAAUUGUUGAAAGGGAAACGAUUGAAGUCAGUCGUGCAGUCAUCAAUUCAGCGGUUAACAUUUUAUGUUUUCGUGUAAUUUGGUGUCUGUUGGUUAGCAUCAAUUUUGAUUGUUAUAAAAAGGUUAAGGGGAUGUGGCUCCUUCGGGAGUGUUAUAACCCUUAGCGUAAUGUGACGAUUAGGAUUGAGGUUUGCAACGAAUACCUUUUAGGGCAGUUUCACCUGGCCUCUCGUGGAAUUAUAGAUAGUUAAGAGCAUGCUCUUACUGUCUAUGAUUCUACGAAAAGGUUGGAGUGUAAAACUAAUUCGUUAAGGAUGUUGACGUA
rnacentral:rRNA from 1 species